rnacentral:rRNA from 1 species
AUUGAACGCUGGCGGCAGGCCUAACACAUGCAAGUCGAGCGGAGCGGCGGACGGGUGAGUAAUGCCUAGGAAUCUGCCUGGUAGUGGGGGAUAACGUCCGGUAACGGGCGCUAAUACCGCAUACUAUCAGAUGAGCCUAGGUCGGAUUAGCUAGUUGGUGGGGUAAAGGGCUACCAAGGCGACGAUCCGUAACUGGUCUGAGAGGAUGAUCAGUCAAACGGGAACUGAGACACGGACCAGAAUGCUACGUGAGGCAGCAGUGGGGAAAAUGGGAGAAUGGGGGAAAGCCUGAUACAGGCAUGCCGCGUGUGUGAAGAAGGUAUUCGGAUGGUAAAGCACUUUAAGUUGGGAGGCGUUACCAACAGAAUAAGCACCGGCUAACUUCGUGCCAGCAGCCGCGGUAAUAC